UCUGUCGUGGGUGAGAUGGUGC
rnacentral:miRNA from 1 species